rnacentral:rRNA from 1 species
UACGGAGGAUCCAAGCGUUAUCCGGAUUUAUUGGGUUUAAAGGGUGCGUAGGCGGCUUAUUAAGUCAGGGGUGAAAGACGGUGGCUCAACCAUCGCAGUGCCCUUGAUACUGAUGAGCUUGAAUACACUAGAGGUAGGCGGAAUGUGACAAGUAGCGGUGAAAUGCAUAGACAUGUCACAGAACACCGAUUGCGAAGGCAGCUUACUAUGGUGUGAUUGACGCUGAGGCACGAAAGCGUGGGGAUCAAACAGG